GAUCCUGGCUCAGAAUCAACGCUGGCGGCGCGCCUAACACAUGCAAGUCGAACGAGAAAGUGGAGCAAUCCAUGAGUAAAGUGGCGUACGGGUGAGUAACACGUGGAUAAUCUGCCCUUUAGUGGGGAAUACCGUUGGGAAACCGACGACAAUACCGCAUAAGCUCGAGAGAGGAAAGCAGCAAUGCGCUGAAGGAGGAGUCCGCGGCCGAUUAGCUAGUUGGUAGGGUAAUGGCCUACCAAGGCUGUGAUCGGUAGCCGGCCUGAGAGGGCACACGGCCACACUGGCACUGAAACACGGGCCAGACUCCUACGGGAGGCAGCAGUGGGGAAUCUUGCACAAUGGGGGAAACCCUGACGCAGCAACGCCGCGUGGAGGAUGAAAUCCCUUGGGAUGUAAACUCCUUUCGAUGGGGAAGAUUAUGACGGUACCCAUAGAAGAAGCCCCGGCUAACUUCGUGCCAGCAGCCGCGGUAAUACGAGGGGGGCAAGCGUUGUUCGGAAUUAUUGGGCGUAAAGGGUGCGUAGGCGGUCUGACAAGUCUGAUGUGAAAUCUAUGGGCUCAACCCAUAGUCUGCAUCGGAAACUGUCGGGCUUGAGUAUGGGAGAGGUGAGUGGAAUUUCCGGUGUAGCGGUGAAAUGCGUAGAUAUCGGAAGGAACACCUGUGGCGAAAGCGGCUCACUGGACCAU
rnacentral:rRNA from 1 species